GCAAUGAAUGGACGGGAGAUGUGUUUGUUUGGAGUUGGAGAAACAUACAGUAUAUGGCGUUGGACUGCACAGCUGUUGAUGUGUUCAGGGAAGAAUAAAGUUGUAAAAGAGCGUCAGACACUAUGUGAUUGUGGGGAGCUACACUGUGCCGCCGUCUGUCGACAUAAUAGAGAGCCGUGGCUUGCCAUCAUGCGUGUGGCGAGAUGUUACCGCUCAUGUUUGGAAUCAAUUAGCACGUGCAACGAGAGGUGUCUGCUGCCAAAGUAGGAAAAGUUGAGGAUGACGAAACACGACUCAGUGCACGUGGGAGACAUGGUUAAAAAAGAGGGCGAGCAUCAUUUACUGUCAGAUGUGAGAACGCGUGCGUGUGUGUGGUAGCGGUGAUGCUUGGCGUCGGUAUGUGGGAUUGGAAGCAGACAAGGAGGAGGAGGUGGAUCACAUUGAUGCCCAGGAGGGACGCUACCAUGCAGCAGCAACCACGCAUCUUAAAUUAAGAGAAUGCAUCUCAUUUGCAUACUCAAAAUAUUUAAAGUGAUGACGAUUUAGGACUUUUAUGCUUGAGGAUCAACGGACUGAGCAAGGAACGUAAACAAUGUACCCAUGUACCACUUUAAGAAACAACAGUACAGGCACAUCGUGUUUAUUAGCUAUAUGGGAGAUAAACUGGUAUCAUUUAGCCUGAUUUCAUUCCUUUAUCAUUAUUUAAUAAGUUAUUGCUUAAAUUAUAUGCUGCAUUUAUUUAUACAUUAUACCAGGGGUGUCCAAAGUAAGGCCCAGGCCCAUUAUUUUUUUUAUUAUUAUUUUAUUUUAUUGUAUUUAAUGUACAAAAUGUAUCAAAGUGGCCUCCCACAUCCACCGGCCUAUGUGUGGAAUGUUAUACUGUGUUCCCUCGUUUAUCGCUGGGGAUAUGUUCCCAAAAUAGCCCGCAAUACGUGAAAUCGGCAAAGUAGCCAACUUUAUUGUUUUUUUACAAUGAUGAUAUGUUUUAAGGCUGUAAAACCCCUCAGCAUACACUUUAUACACUUUUCUCAGACAGGCAUUAACAUUUUCUCACAUUUCUCUCUUGUUCAAAUACUCAAAAAAGUUCAAACCUUCGUUUGAAUUUUAAUUAUCGACCUACUAGGUUGGACACAAGAAAUUAUUAAGUCACUCGUGCAUUUUUCCACUCCUCUGACCAUGCCUUUUCUUCCUGGCGCCGUUCCACUGUACUGUAGGGUUUUUGUAUCCUUGUUAAAACAUAUUGCUCUUGUCGUCGUAUUUUCCUCAAGCGGUUAGCUUCUUCUGUUUCCAGCAUUGUUUCCAGUAUUGGCGGUUAGCAAGCAGCUCACACGGUUAGCUACUUUGGUAGCCAUGACCAUAGACAUAUAUAGAUGCCGCAUCGAGCGCUGAGCUGUAAUGUUGCCACCAUGCUGGAUGUGUCAAGGCUGCGCUGUAAAUGAAUACAAGUACUGUAAAAGCAACAACAAUGUAUUUGAUCUUCACAAAUGUUUGGUGCCUAACUGUUUCCCAAUUACAUUAGUGCGUGUGUGGGUGUAUAAACGAGAGGCACUAACUUAAAUUUCUUUGUAGAAAGGCGCUUUAUGAAAGUAAGUACAUUUACUUGUAUUCAUUUACAGCGCGGCCUUGACACAUCCAGUAUGGCGUCGACGUUGACGUAUUGCAACAGUGGACAAACCCACUUGAUGUGGCGUCUAUCUUUGUCUGUGGCCAUGACCACAACAAGAGACGGCACAAAGGAGAUUGAUUGACAAUGGUCUACAGCCAAUCAGGAUGCAGGAGACAAAGGGCGGUGCAGACAGAAGAGAGAGAAUAGAGAGAGACACCGCUGCCUGUGAUAAAGCACAGAACUACAACACUAAACUUCCCACAUUGCAAUUCUUCUUAAACGGCCUGGUUUGGCCUGCAACAGCGUUCAUAUGCAGUAAAAAAAAAAAAAAUAAUAAUAAUAAUAAUAAUUUAAAAUUAAAAUUGCAGUAAAAAAAAAUUGAGAAAUGGCGAGUCUGCAAAAGGUGAACCGCGAUGGAGCGAGGGAACACCAUAUUGUUUUUUUUGUUUUGUUUUUUUUACUCCUGUAUUUAUUUAUUUAUUCAUUUAUAGUUUAUUUAUCAUUUAUUUAUUAAAUCACUUAUUUUUUUCUUCCUGGUUGGAAAAAGAUUGGGCAAUGUGGCAAUGUUGGUGUCAGUUUUUCUUACUCUUAAAUUUAUUAAUUCAUUUAUGUAUAUUUAAUAUUUGUAUUUAUUUUAAUUUUCUAUGUAUUUUAGCACUUUUUUUCCCUUGUCGGAAAAGGUUUGGACAAUGUUCCAAUGUUUGUGUCAGGUUUUUUUUCUGUAUUUAUUUAAAUGUUUAUUUUAUUUUAUUUUAUUUUAUUUUAUAUGUAUUUAUAAUUUAUUUACAUUUUCAUUUUUAGUUUUAUCACGUCUUUUUUCAUUCUUAUUGGAAACAGUUUGAAUCAUUUUACAACGUUUGUGUCAGUUUUUCUUACUCCUGAAUUUAUGUAUUUAUUUAUGUAUCUAUAAUUAUUUAUGUAUCUGAUAUUUUUGUUGAUUUUAUUUUUAUGUAUUUAUUAUUUGACAUUUGCAUUUUUUUUAUUAUUAUUAUCACUUAUUCUUUCUUCCUUGUUACAAACAGUUUGGAUAACAUUUGUGUCAGAUUUUCUUAUUUAUUUAUCUUUAAUCUUUGUAUUUAUUUAAUUGUAUUUUUAUGUAUUUAUUAUUUGACAUUUUCAUUUUCUUUUUAGCAAUUCUUUUUUCUUCCCCAUUGGAAAAAGUUUGGUUACGAUGUUUUUGACCGUAUUUUGUUGUGUUUAUUUAUCAGUCAAUUUAUCUUUAAUCUUUUUAUUUAGUUUAUUUUCUAUUUAUGUAUUUAGUCAUAUUUUUCAUACUCAUAUAUUCAUAUUUAAAUAUUUAUUUAUAAAUGUACUUGUUUAUUUUAUUUGUAAAUGUACUUAUUUAUUAUUUUAUUGCUGAAAACCUUUUUCUUUCUUUCACCACUGCACAAGCUGUCUAUUUAUUGUUACACUUUCUCUAUUCUUUCCUGUCCUUAGCAGAAAAUGGUAACAUGUCACAAAGGAAGUCAACAAACUGUCUGCAAUUCCUGAAAUAUGGAGCAGGGUAGGAUUAAAUAAGAUCUGGUCUUCCUGGGCCUUUUUGUACAUGUUGAAUUGUGCAAAUGUAAACAUGAAGCACUUCAGUGUAACUCUGUUAAGCAUGUCUGGAGCAAAUAAAACCAUAACCAAAU